rnacentral:rRNA from 1 species
GACGGGGCCCGCACAAGCGGUGGAGCAUGUGGUCUAAUUCGAAGCAACGCGAAGAACCUUACCAGGUCUUGACAUCCCUGACAACCAAGAGAUUGGGCGUUCCCCUUCGGGGGGACAGGGUGACAGGUGGUGCAUGGGUUGUCGUCAGCUCGUGUCGUGAGAUGUUGGGUUAAGUCCCGCAACGAGCGCAACCCUCGCCUCUAGUUGCCAGCAUUCGGUUGGGCACUCUAGAGGGACUGCCGGCGACAAGUCGGAGGAAGGUGGGGAUGACGUCAAAUCAUCAUGCCCCUUAUGACCUGGGCUACACACGUGCUACAAUGGGCGGUACAAAGGGCUGCGAACCCGCGAGGGGGAGCGAAUCCCAAAAAGCCGCUCUCAGUUCGGAUUGCAGGCUGCAACUCGCCUGCAUGAAGCCGGAAUCGCUAGUAAUCGCGGAUCAGCAUGCCGCGGUGAAUACGUUCCCGGGCCUU